rnacentral:rRNA from 1 species
CUGACGGAGCAACGCCGCGUGAGUGAAGAAGGUCUUCGGAUUGUAAAGCUCUGUCGUUUGGGACGGACGUGCUUUUGUGUGAAUAAUGCAAGGUAAUGACGGUACCAAAGGAGGAAGCCACGGCUAACUACGUGCCAGCAGCCGCGGUAAUACGUAGGUGGCAAGCGUUGUCCGGAAUUAUUGGGCGUAAAGGGCGUGUAGGUGGAUCCUUAAGUCGUGUGUCUAAGUGCGGGGCUCAACUCCGUAUAGGCGCAGGAAACUGGGGAUCUUGAGUGCAGGAGAGGAAAGUGGAAUUCCCAGUGUAGCGGUGAAAUGCGUAGAUAUUGGGAGGAACACCAGUGGCGAAGGCGACUUUCUGGACUGUGUCUGACACUGAGGCGCGAAAGCUAGGGGAGCGAACGGGAUUAGAUACCCCGGUAGUCCUAGCCGUAAACGAUGGGUACUAGGUGUAGAGGGUAUCGACCCCUUCUGUGCCGCAAGUUAACACUAUAAGUACCCCGCCUGGGGAGUACGGCCGCAAGGUUG